GGAUGUGGGGGUGAUCUGGCUGCGACAUCUGUCACCCCAUUGAUUGCCAAGGUUGAUUUAACUGAUCUGGCUGGCUAGGCGGGUGUCCGCUUCCUCCCUCACCACUCCAUGUGCGUGCUUCCCAAAGCUAUGCGCUUGGUCGAAGAGGACGACCUUCCCCAAUAGAGGAGGACUGGUCUUCGGUCAAAGGUAUACGAGUAGCCGCGCUCCCCUGCUAGAACCUCCAAACAAAAUAACCCAAGCCAACAUUCCUAUCUUGUGUGGCAGUGAGGUCCCAAGUUGUUCAUACCUACCUAUGUCCAUGCCCUUUGCAAUGCUCCU
rnacentral:snRNA from 1 species